rnacentral:misc_RNA from 1 species
GAUGAAGAACGUAGCGAAAUGCGAUACUUGGUGUGAAUUGCAGAAUCCCGUGAACCAUCGAGUCUUUGAACGCAAGUUGCGCCCGAAGCCAUUAGGCCGAGGGCACGCCUGCCUGGGUGUCACACACCGUUACCCUCGCGCCAACGUCCAUCGUUGGCCGCGGCGCGGGGCGUGCGCUGACCUCCCGCGAGCGGGGUCUCGUGGUUGGUUGAAAAUCGAGUUCGCGGUCGAGGGUGCCGUGAUGAAAUGGUGGAUGGGCGACGCCCGAGGCCAAUCACGCGCGACUCUGUCCGGCGGACUCCUGGACCCCUUCGGCGUCUCCGGACGCUCUUUGGCGAGACCUCAGGUCAGGCGGGGCUACCCGCUGAGUUUAAGCAUAUCAAUAAGCGGAGGA